ensembl:misc_RNA Y_RNA Y RNA
AGUUGGUCCGAGGGCUGUGGGUUAUUGUUAAACUGUUUAGCAUUGUCUCCCACCCACACCCGACCUUGACUAGCUGUGCCUUUU